AUUGAUUUAAAAAAAUUGACUUUUUAAACGAUUGGUAAAAAAAAUUAAUUUGAAGAAUACUUUUCUUCCACAAAAACAAUUUUCAUAAGUAAAAAAGAAAAUAUUUGAUUUUUCUAAAACGAAAAAAUUUCUUAAAUUUUUUCCAUGAAUUCGUUUUUAUAACUUUAAUUUUGAUAGUUUCGAAUUUAUGACUUAUGUAUUUUAAACUCAUUUAAUCUUAAAAUUUAAACCUCUACAUUUUAUGAACUUUGGAGUAAUGUCCAAUUUUAAAAUAUC
rnacentral:lncRNA from 1 species